UACGAAACGUUGAUGAGGAGAAGUAAAGGGCUGUCUGCUUACCCAGAGAGAAUCACCUAGGCUGGAAGUGAUUUUGGGCGGCACCCUGGAAAUGCACCUCGGAGUCUCCGGUUGAAAAAAAGUAGGCCGGAGCGGUUCCCUUCCGUUAUCGAGGAUGAAGUGGGGGAAAUUAUUUUCCCCAAGCAGAGUGGAACCACGCGGGAAGCGUCUCUGUG
rnacentral:ncRNA from 1 species